UACGUAGGUGGCAAGCGUUGUCCGGAAUUAUUGGGCGUAAAGAGCUCGUAGGCGGUUUGUUGCGUCGGCUGUGAAAUCCCGAGGCUCAACCUCGGGUCUGCAGUCGAUACGAGCAAACUAGAGUGUUGCAGGGGAGACUGGAAUUCCUGGUGUAGCGGUGAAAUGCGCAGAUAUCAGGAGGAACACCGGUGGCGAAGGCGGUUCUCUGGGCCUGUACUGACGCUGGAGGAGCGAAAGCGUGGGGAGCGAACAGG
rnacentral:rRNA from 1 species